GUCUAUAGACAUACCGCCCUGAAUGCACCCAAUCUUGUCUGAUCUUGGAAGCUAAGCAGGAUUGGGCCUGGUUAGUACUUGAAUGGGAAAAAAGAAAAAAUACACACAGCCAGCCAAGAAUACUAUAGCUG
rnacentral:rRNA from 1 species